GACGAACGCUGGCGGCGUGCCUAAUACAUGCAAGUAGAACGCACAGUUUAUACCGUAGCUUGCUACACCAUAGACUGUGAGUUGCGAACGGGUGAGUAACGCGUAGGUAACCUGCCUGGUAGCGGGGGAUAACUAUUGGAAACGAUAGCUAAUACCGCUUAAUAUUAAUUAUUGCAUGUUAAUUAAUUGAAAGGUGCAAUUGCCCCACUACCAGAUGGACCUGCGUUGUAUUAGCUAGUAGGUGAGGUAACGGCUCACCUAGGCGACGAUACAUAGCCGACCUGAGAGGGUGAUCGGCCACACUGGGACUGAGACACGGCCCAGACUCCUACGGGAGGCAGCAGUAGGGAAUCUUCGGCAAUGGACGAAAGUCUGACCGAGCAACGCCGCGUGAGUGAAGAAGGUUCUCGGAUCGUAAAGCUCUGUUGUAAGAGAAGAACGGGUGUGAGAGUGGAAAGUUCACACUGUGACGGUAUCUUACCAGAAAGGGACGGCUAACUACGUG
rnacentral:rRNA from 1 species